GGCGCUUAAGGUGGCGCUGGGCCGAAAGUUCUGACGACAGAUCGGAAGCGGGAAGCCGUGGAAGUCAUGUGUGAUGCAACGGGUCUGCCGCAACGCCGUGCCUGUAGGCUGGCAGGU
rnacentral:sRNA from 1 species